ensembl:ribozyme RNase_MRP RNase MRP
GGAUGUUCUGAAGACCUGCUCUCUAGGCCACGUACAGAGGACGCUCGUUCCUCGAGGGCCGCGUGCCCGCCUAGGGGAAAGUCCCCGGACCGCGGGCAGAGAGUGCCGCGCGCCGACGGCGCCCGCCCCGCCCCGCAGCCCACGCUACGCCGCUGAGACGCUCCCGGGCCGAGCGGGUGAGCGCGGGGCGGGCCUUCGUCACGGCCACAGACACGCAGGUAGUGCGGAGGCGAGUCCCGCCAGCCGGGGCCGCAGCACCAACAGAACGGGGCUCACUCUCAGGCCAUC